UACGAAGGGGGCUAGCGUUGUUCGGAAUUACUGGGCGUAAAGCGCACGUAGGCGGAUAUUUAAGUCGGGGGUGAAAUCCCGGGGCUCAACCCCGGAACUGCCUUCGAUACUGGGUAUCUUGAGUUCGGGAGAGGUGAGUGGAACUGCGAGUGUAGAGGUGAAAUUCGUAGAUAUUCGCAAGAACACCAGUGGCGAAGGCGGCUCACUGGCCCGAUACUGACGCUGAGGCACGGAAAGCGUGGGGAGCAAACAGGG
rnacentral:rRNA from 1 species